GUGCUUGCCUGGGCAGCACAUGUACUAAAAUUGGAACGAUACAGAGGAGAUCAGCAGAGCCCUGCAUGAGGAACACAUGCACAUCCAUGAAGCGUUCCUUGUUAAA
ensembl:snRNA U6 U6 spliceosomal RNA